rnacentral:rRNA from 1 species
GACGAACGCUGGCGGCGUGCUUAACACAUGCAAGUCGAACGGAAAGGCCCUGCUUGCAGGGUACUCGCGUGGCGCACGGGUGAGUAACACGUGGGUGUUCUGCCCUGCACUUCGGGAUAAGCUUGGGAAACUGGGUCUAAUACCGGAUAGGACCGCACUUUCGUGUGUGUGGUGGAAAGUUUUUUCGGUGUAGGAUGAGCUCGCGGCCUAUCAGCUUGUUGGUGGGGUAAUGGCCUACCAAGGCGGCGACGGGUAGCCGGCCUGCGAGGGUGUACGGCCACAUUGGGACUGAGAUACGGGCCAGACUCCGACGGGAGGCAGCAGUGGGGAAUAUUGCACAAUGGGCGCAAGCCUGAUGCAGCGACGCCGCGUGGGGGAUGAAGGCCUUCGGGUUGUAAACUCCUGUCGCUAGGGACGAAGCGUUGUUGUGACGGUACCUAGAUAAGAAGCACCGGCUAACUACGUG